rnacentral:sRNA from 1 species
GCCAGGUGUGGUGGUGCAUGCCUGUAAUCCCUGUGGCUGGGAGGCUAGGCUGGAGAAUCACGAGUUCAAAGCCACCCUAAGCAACUGCAAGGCGCUAAAUAACUCAGUGAGACCCUGUCUCU